UCACCAAGGCAAUGACACCUAACUGGUUUGAGAGGAUGAUCAGUCACACUGGAACUGAGACACGGUCCAGACUCCUACGGGAGGCAGCAGUGGGGAAUAUUGCACAAUGGACGAAAGUCUGAUGCAGCUACGCCGCGUGGAGGAUGACACAUUUCGGUGCGUAAACUCCUUUUAUAUAGGAAGAUAAUGACGGUACUAUAUGAAUAAGCACCGGCUAACUCCGUGCCAGCAGCCGCGGUAAUACGGAGGGUGCAAGCGUUACUCGGAACUACUGGGCGUAAAGAGCGUGUAGGCGGGUAAAUAAGUUGGAAGUGAAAUCCUAUGGCUCAACCAUAGAACUGCUUCCAAAACUGUUAACCUAGAAUGUGGGAGAGGUAGAUGGAAUUUCUGGUGUAGGGGUAAAAUCUGUAGAUAUCAGAAGGAAUACCGAUUGCGAAGGCGAUCUUCUGGAACAUAAUUGACGCUGAGACGCGAAAGCGUGGGGAGCAAACAGGAUUAGAUACCCUGGUAGUCCACGCCCUAAACGAUGUACACUAGUUGUUGUGAGGCUAGACCUUGCAGUAAUGCAGUUAACACAUUAAGUGUACCGCCUGGGGAGUACGGUCGCAAGAUUAAAACUCAAAGGAAUAGACGGGGACCCGCACAAGCGGUGGAGCAUGUGGUUUAAUUCGACAUACGCGAAGAACCUCACCUGGUCUUGACAUAGAAAGAACUUUCCAGAGAUGGAUUGGUGCCUGCUUGCAGGAGCUUUCAUACAGGUGCUGCACGGCUGUCGUCAGCUCGUGUCGUGAGAUGUUGGGUUAAGUCCCGCAACGAGCGCAACCCUCGUCGUUAGUUGCUAACAGUUCGGCUGAGAACUCUAACGAGACUGCCUACGCAAGUAGGAGGAAGGUGAGGACGACGUCAAGUCAUCAUGGCCCUUACGACCAGGGCUACACACGUGCUACAAUGGGGUAUACAAAGAGCAGCGAUACGGUGACGUGGAGCGAAUCUCAAAAAUGCCUCCCAGUUCGGAUAGUAGUCUGCAACUCGACUACUUGAAGUUGGAAUCGCUAGUAAUCGUAGAUCAGCUAUGCUACGGUGAAUACGUUCCCGGGUCUUGUACUCACCGCCCGUCACACCAUGGGAGUUGAAUUCAUUCGAAGCGGGGAUGCUAAAAUAGCUACCUUCCACAGUGGAUUUAGCGACUGGGGUGAAGUCGUAACAAGGUAACCGUAGGAGAACCUGCGGUUG
rnacentral:rRNA from 1 species